GAUGAAGAACGUAGCGAACUGCGAUAAGUAAUGUGAAUUGCAGAAUUCAGUGAAUCAUCGAAUCUUUGAACGCACAUUGCGCCCGCCAGUAUUCUGGCGGGCAUGCCUGUUCGAGCGUCAUUUCAACCAUCAAGCCCCCGGGCUUGUGUUGGGGACCUGCGGCUGCCGCAGGCCCUGAAAAGCAGUGGCGGGCUCGCUGUCACACCGAGCGUAGUAGAUUUUAUCUCGCUCAGGGCGUGCUGCGGGUUCCGGCCGUUAAACCACCUUCAUAACCCAAGGUUGACCUCGGAUCAGGUAGGAAGACCCGCUGAACUUAAGCAUAUCAAUAAGCGGAGGA
rnacentral:misc_RNA from 1 species